UUCUUCCUACGGGGGGCAGCAGUGAGGAAUAUUGGUCAAUGGGCGGGAGCCUGAACCAGCCAAGCCGCGUGAGGGAAGAAGGUACAGCGUAUCGUAAACCUCUUUUGUCAGGGAACAAAGGCGGGGACUAGUCCCCGGAUGAGGGUACCUGAAGAAAAAGCAUCGGCUAACUCCGUGCCAGCAGCCGCAGUAAUACGGAGGAUGCAAGCGUUAUCCGGAUUUAUUGGGCGUAAAGGGAACGCAGGCGGUCGUUUAAGGCUGAUGUGAAAGCCUUCGGCUUAAUCGGAGUAGUGCAUUGGAAACUG
rnacentral:rRNA from 1 species